rnacentral:rRNA from 2 species
UUGGGGUAUCGAUAACGAUUAGAACCGUUGUAGUCCCAACCACAAACUUUGCUGACUGGUUGUUUGGCGUUCUUGUGUUCUUCGGGACGAGAGGGAACGCUGGGUGGCCUAAGCGAAAGCAUAGUCUUCGAGUUUCGUGGAGAGUAUGUACGCAAGUAUUAAAUUUAAAGGAAUUGACGGAAUGCCAUACAGGGACUGGAGCAUGCGGCUCAAUUUGAUUCAACACGGGACAACUUACCAGAGCCACGGCAGGGAGGAGACACCGGUUGCAGAGCGGUGUCGAUUCUGCCAGGGGUUGUGCAUGGCCACCCUAAGCCGGUGGGGUGACCUUUUGGUUAAUUCCGCGAACCGGCGAGACCCGAGUCUGUGGUUGUCACGGAGACUGCGCAGGCAACUGCGAGGAAGGGAGGUCAAAGGUAGGUCCGUGAUGCAA